rnacentral:rRNA from 1 species
UAGAGUUUGAUCCUGGCUCAGGAUGAACGCUGGCGGCGUGCCUAACACAUGCAAGUCGAGCGAUUCUCCUCGGAGAAGAGCGGCGGACGGGUGAGUAACGCGUGGGUAACCUGCCCUGUACACACGGAUAACAUACCGAUAGGUAUGCUAAUACGAGAUAAUAUGCUUUUAUCGCAUGGUAGAAGUAUCAAAGCCCCGGCGGUACAGGAUGGACCCGCGUCUGAUUAGCUAGUUGGUAAGGUAACGGCUUACCAAGGCGACGAUCAGUAGCCGACCUGAGAGGGUGAUCGGCCACAUUGGAACUGAGACACGGUCCAAACUCCUACGGGAGGCAGCAGUGGGGAAUAUUGCACAAUGGGCGAAAGCCUGAUGCAGCAACGCCGCGUGAGCGAUGAAGGCCUUCGGGUCGUAAAGCUCUGUCCUCAAGGAAGAUAAUGACGGUACUUGAGGAGGAAGCCCCGGCUAACUACGUGCCAGCAGCCGCGGUAAUACGUAGGGGGCUAGCGUUAUCCGGAAUUACUGGGCGUAAAGGGUGCGUAGGUGGUUUCUUAAGUCAGAGGUGAAAGGCUACGGCUCAACCGUA